UACGUAGGUGACCAGCGUUGUCCGGAUUUACUGGGCGUAAAGAGCGCGCAGGCGGUCGUUCAAGUCGAGUGUGAAAGCCCCCGGCUCAACUGGGGAGGGUCAUUCGAUACUGAUCGACUCGAAGGCAGGAGAGGGAAGUGGAAUUCCCGGUGUAGCGGUGAAAUGCGCAGAUAUCAGGAAGAACACCUAUGGCGAAGGCAGCUCUCUGGGACGGUACUGACGCUGAGACGCGAAAGCGUGGGGAGCGAACAGG
rnacentral:rRNA from 1 species